GUUAUGUUAUGUCUGCCCUCCUCUGAUGCUUGGGAAAUCGUUUGUUCUGUGGGCUUCUCCUGAGGAGAUGGACGAUUUUCAGAGCUUGCAGAAAGGCCCGUGAGAAGAGCAGGGGAGGUAUAGUCAUUUCCCUUGUUUUACGGCAGAGGAAACUGAAGAUAAAGCUAUGAAGUGAAGCUGGCUAGUGGCUGCCUCAGGGUUACUACUGAUAUCACUGGACCCCUUCAGAACCAAGCAUGAAUGAAGCAAUCCUUUUUCCCACCUGCAAGUGAGGCUCUGAGGGAUUCUUCAGAAAUCAAGACUUUGACCCACUCCAUAUUAUGAAUGCCUCAGCCUACAAAGAGCUUGCCUAACCCAACAUCAAGGGGUGGACACGUGAUGCUGGACUUCCAGGAUGCCCAGGAACUAGCGUGGAUGUUUCCCAAGCAGUUUUCAACUUGGCCUUGAAGCCAUUGCUG
rnacentral:lncRNA from 1 species